GACAAACGCUGGCGGCGUGCGUAAAACAUGCAAGUCGAACGCCCGGGCUUCGGCCCGGGAGUGGCAGACGGCUGAGGAACGCGUAGGAACCUGCCCUGGAGUGGGGGCUAGCUUGCCGAAAGGUGAGGUAAUACCGCAUACGUUCGGCCGUCGGGCCGAGGAAAGCACUCGGGUGCUCGAGGAGGGGCCUGCGUCCGAUUAGCUCGUUGGUGGGGUAACGGCCUACCAAGGCGACGAUCGGUAGCUGGUCUGAGAGGAUGACCAGCCAGACUGGGACUGGGACACGGCCCAGACUCCUACGGGAGGCAGCAGUUAGGAAUUUUGGGCAAUGGCCGCAAGGCUGACCCAGCAACGCCGCGUGAGGGAAGAAGGCCUUCGGGUUGUAAACCUCUUUUGUCAGCGACGAUGAUGACGGUACCUGACGAAUAAGCCCCGGCUAACUACGUGCCAGCCGCCGCGGUAAGAC
rnacentral:rRNA from 1 species